rnacentral:misc_RNA from 1 species
GUUCGGAGAAGUGUGAUAAGCAGGUUAUCGAUUAUCGACAUAUUUUAACGAUGUACUGUUAAGUACUAUUAAGGUGGUUAUGAUGGACUAUAAUGAAAACGAUUUAUCGUAUUAUCAACUUCAAGACGAAUUACAACAAGAAUUAGAAGCGGAAUUACGCAAACAACUUGAAGAUGAGUCAGGUGUAAACUAAUCAGUUCGGGCUGAAUGGUUGACGAUAUACUGAUGAUAAAGAAGCCUCAUUUGAGGCUUUUUUUGUGCCUGUUUAAUACA